UACGUAGGGAGCAAGCGUUGUCCGGAAUCAUUGGGCGUAAAGCGCGCGUAGGCGGCCCCGUAAGUCCGCUGUGAAAGUCCAAGGCUCAACCUUUGAAAGCCGGUGGAUACUGUGGGGCUAGAGUCCGGAAGAGGCGAGUGGAAUUCCUGGUGUAGCGGUGGAAUGCGCAGAUAUCAGGAGGAACACCAAUAGCGAAGGCAGCUCGCUGGGACGGUACUGACGCUAAGGCGCGAAAGCGUGGGGAGCGAACAGG
rnacentral:rRNA from 1 species